CCUUGCGGUCCCAAAGGGGCCACAGCUUGAGAAACAACAAGCAAAACUGUGCUUUCUCCAUGGUAUAUCUAUCUAGUAGAAGGAAAGAUAAGGCCUGCCUAUGAGCAAGUUGAGCCAUAUCCAUUUCUGUCACUUGCUCAUACUUCCCUUCAUCUCCUAGUUCCCACUCCAAGUCCCAACUUUGGUCUCCAUUUCACUAGGAAAUCUGAAAAUCACUGCUGUUGAGAAAGUACUGGCUGUCGGGCUUCGAGAGUGUGUGAAACACAGACAAGGGAUCUGCUCAUGGGACGGUGAGGGAUGCCCUUUAGAAAUUCAGGCCCACUGUGGAACCCUGCCUUGCCCCAGCUGCUAACCGCAUGCUUCCCUUGCACCAAAGAGAAGCAAUAAAAGUGCACCAGCUUCUCUAAGUCAUACCCUCUGGAAAAAUGGAAAAUACUUCCGGGGCUUUCUCAUCUAUCUCUUGCUUCUUUCAAGGAUUGGGAAGUUGGAGAACAGAGACUUCAGAAUUGAACUACUUGUGCAUCUUUCUUUAAAAGGAUCCUUUUUCUUGCAAAGGGCUGGUCAGGACUGCAGAGGCCCACUUUCAGACUUUGUUCGCAUUGUUCCACAUAAAGAAAACUAAAAAAAAAGAAUCACAGAAAUAGCAUUGUAUGAAGACAGAGUUGAAGAAAAAUAUGCAUAUCAGCAACACAUCUUUGAGAGCAAAAAGUAUCUCAAGGGAAGCAUCAAUCUGCAGCCCUGCCACGUGACAAAAACCAAUGGCGUGCAUUUCAUCAAGGCAUCUUUAUCAAGACUCAUGUCCUUGCCUAUUUCUGCUCUCUAAAAUAACAAGAAGAAGCCACAGAAGCAUAAAUUCACAUUUCAAUAAAAUUGGAGACACUGGUAAUCGAAACUGCAUUAUAUAUAGAAAGGCUGCCAAAUAUAAUGGAGUCCAAGUAGAGACCAGGGAAGAUGCUGAGAGGGUGAACUGGCUUCCUCUGCCCAGCACUCUUGCUAUGAUAUACUGCCUCACCACAGGUCCCAACGCAAGAGAGCCAGCCAAAAUGGACUGAAAGCUCCAAAACAGACAGGCUGAUGCAAAGACUAGAGGGACCGCAAACAUAUUGCAAGCAUUAGGAUGGGAGCCACCCACCGAGGGUUGUGAAGCAAGAAGGACAGACGGGCCUGUACUGGGAAUGACAUCCUCAAGCAAUGUCACCACACCUAGGCUGCCACAUCUUACUUUGAGGGGAUAAAAGGCCUUAUCUAUUUAAGCUGGUGGUAGAUCUACAUGUGUCAAUUGAAGUAAAAAGCCUUCCUGGUUGAUAUGCUUACUGAUUUUCUUCUUUUAACAAGAACUGCCCAUCAAAAGUUAGGCUGUUGGCAGGAAGCCCAGAGACACUGAGAUGGCUCCUAGUCUUUUAUUCCUUAGAGAGUCUGUAUGUUUUUCAUUAUAGUCACUCAAAUUUUAUAAUAAAAGUAUGAGGGAGCAUA